UAUCCUGUCUGAAUAUGGGGGGACCAUCCUCCAAGGCUAAAUACUCCUGACUGACCGAUAGUGAACCAGUACCGUGAGGGAAAGGCGAAAAGAACCCCGGCGAGGGGAGUGAAAAAGAACCUGAAACCGUGUACGUACAAGCAGUGGGAGCACCCUUUGGGGUGUGACUGCGUACCUUUUGUAUAAUGGGUCAGCGACUUAUAUUCUGUAGCAAGGUUAACCGAAUAGGGGAGCCGGAGGGAAACCGAGUCUUAACCGGGCGUUAAGUUGCAGGGUAUAGACCCGAAACCCGGUGAUCUAGCCAUGGGCAGGUUGAAGGUUGGGUAACACUAACUGGAGGACCGAACCGACUAAUGUUGAAAAAUUAGCGGAUGACCUGUGGCUGGGGGUGAAAGGCCAAUCAAACCGGGAGAUAGCUGGUUCUCCCCGAAAGCUAUUUAGGUAGCGCCUCGUGAAUUCAUCUCCGGGGGUAGAGCACUGUUUCGGCUAGGGGGCCAUCCCGGCUUACCAACCCGAUGCAAACUGCGAAUACCGGAGAAUGUUAUCACGGGAGACACACGGCGGGUGCUAACGUCCGUCGUGAAGAGGGAAACAACCCAGACCGCCAGCUAAGGUCCCAAAGUCAUGGUUAAGUGGGAAACGAUGUGGGAAGGCCCAGACAGCCAGGAUGUUGGCUUAGAAGCAGCCAUCAUUUAAAGAAAGCGUAAUAGCUCACUGGUCGAGUCGGCCUGCGCGGAAGAUGUAACGGGGCUAAACCAUGCACCGAAGCUGCGGCAGCGACGCUGAUGCGUUGUUGGGUAGGGGAGCGUUCUGUAAGCCUGCGAAGGUGGCCUGUGAGGGUUGCUGGAGGUAUCAGAAGUGCGAAUGCUGACAUAAGUAACGAUAAAGCGGGUGAAAAGCCCGCUCGCCGGAAGACCAAGGGUUCCUGUCCAACGUUAAUCGGGGCAGGGUGAGUCGACCCCUAAGGCGAGGCCGAAAGGCGUAGUCGAUGGGAAACGGGUUAAUAUUCCCGUACUUGGUGUUACUGCGAAGGGGGGACGGAGAAGGCUAUGUUGGCCGGGCGACGGUU
rnacentral:rRNA from 1 species